AUUGCCCCAGUAACGGCGAGUGAAGCGGCAAGAGCUCAAAUUUGAAAUCUGGGGUCCCCGACCCCCGAGUUGUAAUUUGGAGAGGCAUCUUCGGGGGGGAGCGUCGGCCCAUGUUCCUUGGAACAGGACGUCGCAGAGGGUGAGAAUCCCGUGCCUGGCCGGCUGCCUCCUCCCGGGUGAAGGGCCUUCGACGAGUCGAGUUGUUUGGGAAUGCAGCUCCAAGUGGGUGGUAAAUUUCAUCUAAAGCUAAAUACCGGCGGGAGACCGAUAGCGCACAAGUAGAGUGAUCGAAAGAUGAAAAGCACUUUGAAAAUAGAGUCAAAAAGUACGUGAAAUUGUUGAAAGGGAAGCGCUUGAGACCAGACUCAGGCCCGGGCAAACACCGCGCCCCCCGGGGCCGUGCAAUUGCCUGGGGCUGGGCCAGCAUCAGUCGGCGUGGCGGGACAAAGGCGCGGGGAAUGUGGCUCCGCUCGCGGAGUGUUAUCAGGCCCGCGCUCAAUGCCGCCGACGCCGACUGAGGACCGCGCCUCGGCUAGGAUGCUGGCAUAAUGGCCUUCAGCGACCCGUCUUGAAACACGGACCAAGGAGUCUAACAUCUAUGCGAGUGUUUGGGCGCCAAACCCUUGCGCGGAAUGAAAGUGAGCGGAGGUGGGAACCCCCCAGCGGGGCGCACCAUCGACCGAUCCUGAUGUCUUCGGAUGGAUUUGAGUAGGAG
rnacentral:rRNA from 1 species